ensembl:snoRNA
UUUCCCAUUUGACUACCACGUUUUCUCCAACAAUAGAUUUUAGUGGCUAUGCUUGUGGGAUAGAUGAAAGUUGCCAUGAUCUGAAGAGGGAGGGCUCUUCAGUGUCCUCCUCCUAUAUGAAAUGGCUGAACAGAACACC